GAUGAAGAACGUAGCGAAAUGCGAUAAGUAAUGUGAAUUGCAGAAUUCAGUGAAUCAUCGAAUCUUUGAACGCACAUUGCGCCCGCUAGUAUUCUGGCGGGCAUGCCUGUCCGAGCGUCAUUUCGACCCUCAAGCCCCCGGGCUUGGUGUUGGGGAUCGGCGAGCCUCCGCGCCCGCCGUCCCCUAAAUCUAGUGGCGGUCUCGCUGUAGCUUCCUCUGCGUAGUAGCACACCUCGCACUGGGAAACAGCGCGGCCACGCCGUUAAACCCCCAACUUCUGAACGUUUGACCUCGGAUCAGGUAGGAAUACCCGCUGAACUUAAGCAUAUCAAUAAGCGGAGGA
rnacentral:misc_RNA from 1 species